rnacentral:rRNA from 1 species
AUUGAACGCUGGCGGCAGGCCUAACACAUGCAAGUCGAGCGAGCGGCGGACGGGUGAGUAAUGUCUGGGAAACUGGCUGAUGGAGGGGGAUAACGACUGGAAACGGUAGCUCAUACCGCAUACAGUCAGAUGUGCCCAGAUGGGAUUAGCUGGUAGGUGGGGGAACGGCUCACCUAGGCGACGAUCCCUAGCUGGUCUGGGAGGAUGACCAGCCACACUGGAACUGAGACACGGUCCAGACUCCUACGGGAGGCAGCAGUGGGGAAUAUUGCACAAUGGGCGAAAGCCUGAUGCAGCCAUGCCGCGUGUAUGAAGAAGGCCUUCGGGUUGUAAAGUACUUUAAGCGGGGAGGCGUUACCCGCAGAAGAAGCACCGGCUAACUCCGUGCCAGCAGCCGCGGUAAUUC